rnacentral:rRNA from 1 species
CCUACGGGGGGCAGCAGUGAGGAAUAUUGGUCAAUGGGCGAGAGCCUGAACCAGCCAAGUAGCGUGCAGGAUGACGGCCCUAUGGGUUGUAAACUGCUUUUAUAAGGGAAUAAAGUGAGCCUCGUGAGGCUUUUUGCAUGUACCUUAUGAAUAAGGACCGGCUAAUUCCGUGCCAGCAGCCGCGGUAAUACGGAAGGUCCGGGCGUUAUCCGGAUUUAUUGGGUUUAAAGGGAGCGUAGGCCGGAGAUUAAGCGUGUUGUGAAAUGUAGAUGCUCAACAUCUGCACUGCAGCGCGAACUGGUUUCCUUGAGUACGCACAAAGUGGGCGGAAUUCGUGGUGUAGCGGUGAAAUGCUUAGAUAUCACGAAGAACUCCGAUUGCGAAGGCAGCUCACUGGAGCGCAACUGACGCUGAAGCUCGAAAGUGCGGGUAUCGAACAGGAUUAGAUACCCGAGUAGUC